rnacentral:lncRNA from 1 species
UCCUCGCAUCUCUUCCCGAGGCCCUCUCUGGCCUGCAGCCGGCUGCUGAGGCGGCCGUAGUCGGCCUCCUUCUGGUCGAUCUGUUUCUUGUGCGUGUCCACCAACAGCAAGAGGUCCGAAUUGCGCUUUUCCAGCCGCCCGCGGGCCACUUCGGUGCGCUGGACCUGGCCCUGCAGCUCGGCCACCUCCUCCUGAAGCAGGACGUGGCGGGAGGAGAUGCUCCAGUAGUUGAAGGCGAGGACGACGAUCACCACCAGCAGCACCACCAGCACGAGAGAGGGCAGGCGGCCAGCCCGCCGGUUGGCCCCGAAACCCACCAUGGGGCCAAAUCGGGCUGUACCCUAGGGGCCUCGCCGCAGACACCUGCAGGCAGAAGCCCAGGCCUCGGCUGGAGUUGCCCGGCGGACACGGCCCCAGGGCCGGCCGAGGGAGGAGGCGGGCUUACCGGUCGGCUGCGAGCCGGAGAAGGGGGCCAAAACGCGUUCCGGAGGCUUUGAACCCGACCCUGCACCUGCCCAAGGGAACCGGGAGAACCCAGCUGCCAGCGUCCCCCAAACCCAACACCUCACGGUUGGGAGGCGGGGAAAAA